UAUAUAUAUAUAUAUAGGUAAAGAGGUAAAGAUUGGAAGAAGGAUAGGAAUGUCUCGUUACGAAGUUGGAACGUUCAUCCUACUACCUUUAGCAGUCAAGUGGUGCCCUUGUAUUUGUAGCCAGAAGUCACAAUGUAUUCUGCAAAAUCCACAGUACGGCUGUUGGUAUUUCUUGGAUAAUGAACCAAGAGUAGUGAAGUUCUGUGAAGCUGUAGUAUUAUUCAACCUCACCGUUCAGCUAGUAAUUAAUUUGCAUAGAAAGGCUCAGCGGUUCUUCCGUAUUAACCUUAACAUUCAGCUAGUAAUUUCAAUUUGUAUUGCCAACAGAAAGGUGGGUGGUUCUACUUCUUUGCUUUGCUAUUCUAAUAUACUGUGAUGUGUGAGCUGACAAUUAACUCGAUGAAACUGAUGAUAUACCAAACAACCACAUAUACUAGAUGGCUAUCGUUUAACGACAUGCGGUGGUUCAGAAUCCACCGAGUGUCUGUUGCUGAACUUGGUCAUUCUGUCUGAAGCGGCAUGCAGCUGUUUAUUGAGGUGAGUCCAAGACUCCAAGUCGAGUGAGGAAGCAGAGUAGAGAGAGAGAUCAGAUGAAUAAUUCAAUUUAGUCCGAUGGGAUCCUUGGACCAUGGCAUCUUAUGUUGUUAUGACAAUGCGAUGUGUCUGUGUUGUUUUUUCAACAGUCACAUGAAGUUUAGAUGCCGUUGCACCUGAUUUAUCUGGGAAAUCUUACUUACUGGCCGUUAUCUGUCUGAGAAAAACUCCCUCACCACUACUACUUCUCACAUAGCAAGGGUACUAGGUCAAACCUGAGCGAACCCUGCAACCAAUGGCGGGGGUUCUGAGAUGCUUUGGCAUCCUACGUGACCAGCAUGCUCGCCGAGAUGGCCAAAGAGGAGGUGGCCAUGCUAAUCGGUGUGUCCAAUGGGAUCAAAUACCUGGGCAUCAAGCUUGGGGACCUCAAAAAUUUCCUUGCUGAUGCUGAUUGGAUGAACAUCAUCGAUGAGAAUAUGCGGGGGUAGGUGGGGCAACUGAAGCGUGCCAUGUACCUUGCCACUGACAUCAUCGACCUAUGUCAGCUCAAGGCCAUGGAGCAAGGUCAAACCAAGGACAGGGGGUGCCUCAACCCUCUGCUCUUUUUCAUGUGGAAUCCCCUCCACGCUCGCGA